rnacentral:miRNA from 1 species
UAGGCGUGUCACUGCGUGU